UGGGGAAUAUUGGACAAUGGGCGCAAGCCUGAUCCAGCCAUGCCGCGUGAGUGACGAAGGUCUUCCGGAUUGUAAAGCUCUUUUUACCAGGGACGAUAAUGACGGUACCUGGAGAAUAAGCCCCGGCUAACUUCGUGCCAGCAGCCGCGGUAAUACGAAGGGGGCUAGCGUUGUUCGGAAUUACUGGGCGUAAAGCGCACGUAGGCGGAUUUGUAAGUCAGGGGUGAAAUCCCGGGGCUCAACCUCGGAACUGCCUUUGAUACUGCAAGUCUCGAGUGCGAUAGAGGUGAGUGGAAUUCCUAGUGUAGAGGUGAAAUUCGUAGAUAUUAGGAAGAACACCAGUGGCGAAGGCGGCUCACUGGAUCGGUACUGACGCUGAGGUGCGAAAGCGUGGGGAGCAAACAGGAUUAGAUACCCCAGUAGUCCCUGAGCGGGCUGGCAAGGCGCAU
rnacentral:rRNA from 1 species